AUUUGUAGUUGUUCACGUUUCGGUCGGGAGCCGCAAGUGCACUUGCGGAGGGACUGCUCGCCACCCCCACGUUUUUGGGGCGCCCGACACAGGAAAAUCGGUUCUCACGCGUUCCGUUCCCACGUCGUUCGCUGCUGCACGUCCUCGAUUUUCUGCGUUUUGUUUUUGUUUCAAGCUGGACAGAGUAUUUGCGAGAUGCGCUGGGAAUCGGCGAACGUGAUCGCACGUUGACAAGACGCCUCACGAGGCCCCCGAGUGGAUUCGGUGCAUGCAAUUGGGACCGCUCCGGCACAAAGGAGCCAGUGUUUAGUGGGAAACUCGCCCCGUAUUGUGUUCCCAAGACGCCAUAUUUACAUGUGCUCUUUGUGCGGCACUCAAUGGGGCUGCAGUUGACAGAAUUGCAUUGUUUGCAGUUCCCUUGCUGGCGCGACGCAGCCCGGGAAGAAGCCGGUCAAUGGGCGAUCGGACAGGAAAGCAAUUGUGUCAAUAAUUGCAGUGGGAUCUGGCGUUUCUGCGCAUUUCUAGUCGCACGAGAUUUGGCCGACUGCAACUGACAUUGCGGGUCGAAUGGCUGGUGCUGGGUGCCAAACAAAGGGUUGGUAGCGAAGCGCAAUUGGCUGAAAACGAGCGGGCCGAGUACGGAACUCAAGGGCCUGGAUGUAACUAGUUCCGAGUUGUUGACAGAAUCUGGUGGCUAUUGUUUUGGACGGCGAAGUCAGGCCUGCCCCCAUCACAAAACAAAAAUGUGAUUCAACGUUUGUUAUGCAUAUCGGACUGCGCCAGUAAGAAGAUCUGUGUUUUGUAUUUAUUGAUCUCAGGUAAUAUUUCGCGAAUUUUAUGUCUUAUUCAUCAUGAUCGCUAUUCAAAUUGGAUUCGCCUUCCGAACCCUGGUCAGAGCCCGUCUAAAUGAAAUUAUGUUGUUCAUAUCAUCAUCA